GAAGGGCAUUGAGCGGCGAUGUCUGAUUAGCUAGUUGGUGAGGUAAAGGCUUACCAAGGCUUCGAUCAGUAGCUGGUCUGAGAGGACGACCAGCCACACUGGGACUGAGACACGGCCCAGACUCCUACGGGAGGCAGCAGUGGGGAAUUUUGGACAAUGGGGGCAACCCUGAUCCAGCCAUGCCGCGUGAGUGAAGAAGGCCUUCGGGUUGUAAAGCUCUUUCAGCCGGAACGAAAAGGUUACGGUUAAUACCCGUGACUAAUGACGGUACCGGAAGAAGAAGCACCGGCUAACUACGUGCCAGCAGCCGCGGUAAUACGUAGGGUGCGAGCGUUAAUCGGAAUUACUGGGCGUAAAGCGUGCGCAGGCGGUUUUGUAAGUCAGAUGUGAAAUCCCCGGGCUUAACCUGGGAACUGCGUUUGAAACUACAAAGGCUAGA
rnacentral:rRNA from 1 species